rnacentral:rRNA from 1 species
AGAGUUUGAUCCUGGCUCAGAGCGAACGUUUGCGGCAGGCCUAACACAUGCAAGUCGCACGAGAAAAGGGCUUCGGCCCCCAGUAAAGUGGCGGACGGGUGAGUAACACGUGGGUAAUGUACCCCUCGGCGGGGGAUAACAACCCGAAAGGGUUGCUAAUACCGCAUAUGUCGAGAGAUUUUUCAUAGUCUCUCGAGAAGGGUGGCCUCUUCAUGAAAGCUACCACCGAAGGAUCAGCCCGCGGCCCAUCAGCUAGUUGGCGGGGUAAUAGAACCACCAAGGCAAAAGACGGGUAGCUGGUCUGAGAGGAAGAUCAGCCACACUGGAACUGAGACACGGUCCAGACUCCUUCGGGAGGCAGCAGUGGGGAAUAUUGGGCAAUGGGCGAAAGCCUGACCCAGCCAUGCCGCGUGAGUGAUGAAGGCCUUCGGGUCGUAAAGCUCUGUGGGGAGGGAAGAAAAUACCUUGGCUAAUAUCCAAGGGAACUGACGGUACCUCCUUAGCAAGCACCGGCUAACUCCGUGCCAGCAGCCGCGGUAAUACGGAGGGUGCAAACGUUGCUCGGAAUCAUUGGGCGUAAAGCGCACGUAGGCGGUUCGUUAAGUCGGAUGUGAAAGCCCUGGGCUCAACCCAGGAAGAGCAUUCGAAACUGGCGGACUGGAGUAUGGAAGAGGGUCGCGGAAUUCCCGGUGUAGAGGUGAAAUUCGUAGAUAUCGGGAGGAACACCAGUGGCGAAGGCGGCGACCUGGGCCAAUACUGACGCUGAGGUGCGAAAGCGUGGGGAGCAAACAAGAUUAGAUACCCUGGUAGUCCACGCCGUAAACGAUGGA